UCAUGACCUGAGCCGAAGGCAGACGCUUAACCAACUGAGCCACCUGGACAUCUCCCUUCUCCUCCUCACCCUGCCCUGGAGAUUGUGGUCGCUUUCACAGCAGAGACUUGGGCCUUUUGAUAAUGCCUAGCCCUUCAAGACCCUGCAUGCCACCUCCCGGGGUCGCCCUCCUGGCAGCCCUCCUGAGCUCGUGCGGGUCCCUGAGCCAGGUCCACGCACUGAUGGGAGUGAGAACUACCACAUGUGUACUGGGCAGGACACUCAGAGCUUUAUAUACAUCACCUCCAGUGUUCGCUGGGAGGUUACUGUUAGUCCCACUUCACAGUUGAGAAAACGAGGUAAAAAGAGGUCCAAGCAGCAAGCACCCUGCGCGCAGGGCUGAGCCAGGCCUUGAACAUGGUGUCUGACUCAGGCUCGUGUUCUCUCCACCACGCCACCACCUCCCCCUGUAAGACCUUCUUCCUCUUCCGCAGGGGUACAAACUCCAGAUAAUAGAGGUGCCCGUCCUCUCGGAUGACUCGGCCUCCGUCGGCGUGCUGGGAGGAGACUACUACAGGAAGCUCCUGCGCUACUACAGCAAGGGCCACCCGGCCGAGGCCGUCAAGUGCCACGAGCUGCUGGCCCUCCACCUGUCGGUCAUCCCCACAGACGUGCUGGUGCAGCAGGCCGGCGAGCUGGCCCGGCGCCUGUGGGAGACCUCCCACGUCCCCUUGCUCUAGGCCAGGGCGCCGCAGGCUGGCUGUGCAGCCCGGCCCCCUGCAGAGCAGCCGCUAAGGGUAGGACAGCCCCCCGGCUCUCUUAAAGAAACCACCUAGACUAGGCUCCCCUCCAGGUUCCAAACCCCCAAAUCCUUCUCUUUGGGGGAGGAGGGAGGCCAGGGGGUCCCUUGGUCUCCUUAAAAGAACAGUGGCUGUGAGGUUAGAACUGGGGCACCUGCUUUCAGAGCUGCCUCUGUCUUGAUCCCCAGGAGACAGGACGUCCCUGGGGUCUGCGGGUGUCUGAAGAUACCUCCUUUAUGCUUUCCUUGGAGUGGAGAAAGAGCUUCCUCGGGAAGCCGUUUCCCUCCCCAAAUGCAAGGUGCUGCCUUGGCUGGGUGGGCCACUUCCUCUCUGCAGCUCUGGGCGGGUUUCCGACACUCUACACCCGUUUCCCCUGCGUUCGGAGGGAUAGCACCUACCUCUCAGGGUGGUUGUGAGGGCUGCCCGGCACGCGGCAGGUGCUCAAUAAAUGUUGGUUGUGGUCACUGUUGUUCAAGCCAAACGUG